rnacentral:rRNA from 1 species
UACGGAGGGUGCAAGCGUUGUUCGGAAUUACUGGGCGUAAAGGGCUCGUAGGCGGCCAACUAAGUCGGAUGUGAAAUCCCCAGGCUCAACCUGGGAACUGCAUCCGAUACUGGAUGGCUUGAAUCCGGGAGAGGGAUGCAGAAUUCCAGGUGUAGCGGUGAAAUGCGUAGAUAUCUGGAGGAAUACCGGUGGCGAAGGCGGCAUCCUGGACCGGCAUUGACGCUGAGGAGCGAAAGCUAGGGGAGCAAACGGGG